UGGGGUAUCGCCAAGCGGUAAGGCCGUGGCUUUUGGUGCCACUAUUCGGGGGUUCGAAUCCCUCUACCCCAU
rfam:Sulfurimonas sp. AST-10 Contig02, whole genome shotgun sequence.